UACAGAGGUGGCAAGCGUUGUUCGGAAUUACUGGGCGUAAAGGGCGCGUAGGCGGCCGCCUAAGUCAGAUGUGAAAUCCCCGGGCUUAACCUGGGAACUGCGCUUGUAACUGGCAAGCUAGAGUGUGGCAGAGGGGGGUGGAAUUCCACGUGUAGCAGUGAAAUGCGUAGAGAUGUGGAGGAACACCGAUGGCGAAGGCAGCCCCCUGGGCUAACACUGACGCUCAUGCACGAAAGCGUGGGGAGCAAACAGG
rnacentral:rRNA from 1 species